GACGAACGCUGGCGGCGUGCCUAAUACAUGCAAGUCGAACGCAGUGGGGACGGGUGAGUAACACGUGGGUAACCUCCCAUCAGAGGGGAUAACACUUGGAAACAGGUGCUAAACCGCUACUGAUGGAUGGACCCGCGGUGCAUUAGCUAGUGGGUGAGGUAACGGCUCACCAAGGCCACGAUGCAUAGCCGACCUGAGAGGGUGAUCGGCCACACUGGGACUGAGACACGGCCCAGACUCCUACGGGAGGCAGCAGUAGGGAAUAUUCGGCAAUGGGCGCAAGUCUGACCGAGCAACACCGCGUGAGUGAAGAAGGUUUUCGGAUUGUAAAGCUCUGUUGUUAGGGAAGCGUUAUCUAACCAGAAAGCCACGGCUAACUCCGUGCCAGCAGCCGCGGUAAUUC
rnacentral:rRNA from 1 species